rnacentral:rRNA from 1 species
GGGAACUCAAAGGAGACUGCCAGUGAUAAACUGGAGGAAGGUGGGGAUGACGUCAAGUCAUCAUGGCCCUUACGACCAGGGCUACACACGUGCUACAAUGGCGCAUACAAAGAGAAGCGACCUCGCGAGAGCAAGCGGACCUCAUAAAGUGCGUCGUAGUCCGGAUUGGAGUCUGCAACUCGACUCCAUGAAGUCGGAAUCGCUAGUAAUCGUGGAUCAGAAUGCCACGGUGAAUACGUUCCCGGGCCUUGUACACACCGCCCGUCACACCAUGGGAGUGGGUUGCAAAA